UAAGGGCUCACCAAGGCGACGAUCCCUAGCUGGUCUGAGAGGAUGAUCAGCCACACUGGAACUGAGACACGGUCCAGACUCCUACGGGAGGCAGCAGUGGGGAAUAUUGCACAAUGGGCGCAAGCCUGAUGCAGCCAUGCCGCGUGUGUGAAGAAGGCCUUCGGGUUGUAAAGCACUUUCAGUCGUGAGGAAGGUGGUAGUGUUAAUAGCACUAUCAUUUGACGUUAGCGACAGAAGAAGCACCGGCUAACUCCGUGCCAGCAGCCGCGGUAAUACGGAGGGUGCGAGCGUUAAUCGGAAUUACUGGGCGUAAAGCGCAUGCAGGUGGUUUGUUAAGUCAGAUGUGAAAGCCCGGGGCUCAACCUCGGAAUAGCAUUUGAAACUGGCAGACUAGAGUACUGUAGAGGGGGGUAGAAUUUCAGGUGU
rnacentral:rRNA from 1 species